GACGAACGCUGGCGGCGUGCUUAACACAUGCAAGUCGAACGGAAAGGUCCUGCUUUUGUGGGGUGCUCGAGUGGCGAACGGGUGAGUAACACGUGAGUAACCUUCCCUUUACUUUGGGAUAACUUCAGGAAACUGCGGCUAAUACCGGAUAGGAGCUCCUGCUGCAUGGUGGGGGUUGGAAAGUUUCGGCGGUUGGGGAUGGACUCGCGGCUUAUCAGCUUGUUGGUGGGGUAGUGGCUUACCAAGGCUUUGACGGGUAGCCGGCCUGAGAGGGUGACCGGCCACAUUGGGACUGAGAUACGGACCAGACUGCUACGGGAGGCAGAAGUGGGGAAUAUUGCACAAUGGGCGGGAGCCUGAUGCAGAAACGCCGCGUGCGGGAUGAAGGCCUUCGGGUUGUAAACCGCUUUAGCCUGUGACGAAGCGUGAGUGACGGUAAUGGGUAAAGAAGCACCGGCUAACUACGUG
rnacentral:rRNA from 1 species